AUUGAACGCUGGCGGCAUGCCUUACACAUGCAAGUCGAACGGCAGCAUGGAAGAGCUUGCUCUUCUGAUGGCGAGUGGCGAACGGGUGAGUAAAGCAUCGGAACGUACCGUGUAGUGGGGGAUAACGUAGCGAAAGUUACGCUAAUACCGCAUACGCACUGAGGUGGAAAGCAGGGGGUCGCAAGACCUUGCGCUAUACGAGCGGCCGAUGUCAGAUUAGCUAGUUGGUAGGGUAAAGGCCUACCAAGGCGACGAUAUGUAGCGGGUCUGAGAGGAUGAGCCGCCACACUGGGACUGGGACACGGCCCAGAGUCCUACGGGAGGCAGCAGUGGGGAAUUUUGGACAAUGGGGGAAACCCUGAUCCAGCCAUGCCGCGUGAGUGAAGAAGGCCUUCGGGUUGUAAAGCUCUUUCGGCUGGGAAGAAAUCGCACAGGCUAAUACUCUGUGUGGAUGACGGUACCAGCAUAAGAAGCACCGGCUAACUACGUGCCAGCCGCCGCGGUAA
rnacentral:rRNA from 1 species